CAGCCAAAACUACACAGAGAGACCCUGUCUCAAAAGACAGAGAGAGAGAGAGAGAGAGAGAGGUCUGCUUCUCUGUGCUCUGUUUCCUGUCUCUCACACACAUGGUCUCUCCCUUCUAUAUGUGCUCCCAUGAUGCAGUUCACCUUGAUGAGAUAUAGCCAGCUGGUGCUGUGCUCUUUGGACUUUCAGCUCCCAGAGCUGUAAGAGGAAGGCAGUCCUUUGCCCUACAAAUUACCCAGCCUCAGCGAGCAGCUUUUCUCCACCACGCCCUUCCACCAUGAUGUUUCUAGCCUGGAGCCAGAUACCUUGGACUGAAGUCUCCCAAACUGUGAGCCAGAGUAAACCACUCCUCCUAAGCCACCAUAAUCAGAGGGCUGCUGGGGCCUGGCUGGCUGGACAAACUGCUCAGAAUGGAUGCUGGGGGGCAAGAUGAAUCCCGGGCACUGCAGCUGUCUGCUUUCCACCCAGACGACCUAUCCCUCUGCACCCAAAGACUGUAUUUCUCACCUGCUUCUUUGCUGUUCCAGUGCUUCAGUGGCUCUCUGACCCAGUCACAAGGAAGUAUCAUGGGGGGACGGGGGAGAGGCUCAGGGUGGCAUCGGGGAGUCUGCUGCCUGCCCCUGUGGCCUCAUUCUUCAGCUGUUCAUGGGAACAAAACUGACUCCAACAUGAGGCUCUGU